rnacentral:rRNA from 1 species
CAGUCGCCGCGGUAAUACGGAGGGAGCUAGCGUUGUUCGGAAUUACUGGGCGUAAAGCGCGCGUAGGCGGUUACUCAAGUCAGAGGUGAAAGCCCGGGGCUCAACCCCGGAACUGCCUUUGAAACUAGGUGACUAGAAUCUUGGAGAGGUCAGUGGAAUUCCGAUUGUAGAGGUGAAAUUCGUAGAUAUUCGGAAGAACACCAGUGGCGAAGGCGACUGACUGGACAAGUAUUGACGCUGAGGUGCGAAAGCGUGGGGAGCAAACAGGAUUAGAUACCCGCGUAGUCCCUGUCUCUUAUAC